GUAUCAGCAGAUGCUAGCUAGGGCAUUAGCACACUAUUUUGAAGCGAAGCUGCUGUUAUUAGAUGUCACUGAUUUUUCUCUGAAGAUGCUUAGCAAGUAUGGAGGUCUUAAUGCAGGAUCUUCUUUUAAGAGGUCUGUAUCUGAAACAACUCUAAGUCGAAUGUCUGAUUUCAUUGGAUCACUA